rnacentral:rRNA from 1 species
CGGCGGACGGGUGAGUAAUGCCUAGGAAUCUGCCUGGUAGUGGGGGACAACGUUUCGAAAGGAACGCUAAUACCGCAUACGUCCUACGGGAGAAAGCAGGGGACCUUCGGGCCUUGCGCUAUCAGAUGAGCCUAGGUCGGAUUAGCUAGUUGGUGAGGUAAUGGCUUACCAAGGCGACGAUCCGUAACUGGUCUGAGAGGAUGAUCAGUCACACUGGAACUGAGACACGGUCCAGACUCCUACGGGAGGCAGCAGAC